UACAGAGGUCUCAAGCGUUGUUCGGAUUCAUUGGGCGUAAAGGGUGUGUAGGUGGCGCCGUAAGUCGGGUGUGAAAUUUCGGAGCUUAACUCCGAAACUGCAUUCGAUACUGCGGUGCUUGAGGACUGGAGAGGAGACUGGAAUUCAUGGUGUAGCAGUGAAAUGCGUAGAGAUCAUGAGGAAGACCAGUGGCGAAGGCGGGUCUCUGGACAGUUCCU
rnacentral:rRNA from 1 species